rnacentral:ncRNA from 1 species
UAGGUGCGUCGCGAUGAGGCCUCCCCCCGCGUGGCAGGUGGCUCCUGGCAUCACUUCCCCGAUGCCGGGCACACCGGAUCCACACGCGGGAGGGGACCUGAUCGAGACGCCAUGAACCG